GACGAACGCUGGCGGCGUGCCUAAUACAUGCAAGUUGAGCGCUGAAGGUUGGUCCUUGUACCAACUGGAUGAGCAGCGAACGGGUGAGUAACGCGUGGGGAAUCUGCCUUUGAGCGGGGGACAACAUUUGGAAACGAAUGCUAAUACCGCAUAAAAACUUUAAACACAAGUUUUAAGUUUGAAAGAUGCAAUUGCAUCACUCAAAGAUGAUCCCGCGUUGUAUUAGCUAGUUGGUGAGGUAAAGGCUCACCAAGGCGAUGAUACAUAGCCGACCUGAGAGGGUGAUCGGCCACAUUGGGACUGAGACACGGCCCAAACUCCUACGGGAGGCAGCAGUAGGGAAUCUUCGGCAAUGGGCGAAAGUCUGACCGAGCAACGCCGCGUGAGUGAAGAAGGUUUUCGGAUCGUAAAACUCUGUUGGUAGAGAAGAACGUUGGUGAGAGUGGAAAGCUCAUCAAGUGACGGUAACUACCCAGAAAGGGACGGCUAACUACGUG
rnacentral:rRNA from 1 species